rnacentral:rRNA from 1 species
GACUGCUAAUACCGCAUAAGCCCACGGCUCGGCAUCGAGCAGAGGGAAAAGGAGCAAUCCGCUUUGAGAUGGCCUCGCGUCCGAUUAGCUAGUUGGUGAGGUAAUGGCCCACCAAGGCGACGAUCGGUAGCCGGACUGAGAGGUUGAACGGCCACAUUGGGACUGAGACACGGCCCAGACUCCUACGGGAGGCAGCAGUGGGGAAUAUUGCACAAUGGGGGAAACCCUGAUGCAGCGACGCCGCGUGGAGGAAGAAGGUCUUCGGAUUGUAAACUCCUGUUGUUGGGGAAGAUAAUGACGGUACCCAACAAGGAAGUGACGGCUAACUACGUGCCAGCAGCCGCGGUAAAACGUAGGUCACAAGCGUUGUCCGGAAUUACUGGGUGUAAAGGGAGCGCAGGCGGGAAGACAAGUUGGAAGUGAAAUCUAUGGGCUCAACCCAUAAACUGCUUUCAAAACUGUUUUUCUUGAGUAGUGCAGAGGUAGGCGGAAUUCCCGGUGUAGCGGUGGAAUGCGUAGAUAUCGGGAGGAACACCAGUGGCGAAGGCGGCCUACUGGGCACCAACUGACGCUGAGGCUCGAAAGUGUGGGUAGCAAACAGGAUUAGAUACCCUGGUAGUCCACACCGUAAACGAUGAUUACUAGGUGUUGGAGGAUUGACCCCUUCAGUGCCGCAGUUAACACAAUAAGUAAUCCACCUGGGGAGUACGACCGCAAGGUUGAAACUCUAAGGAAUUGACGGGGGCCCGCACAAGCAGUGGAGUAUGUGGUUUAAUUCGACGCAACGCGAAGAACCUUACCAAGUCUUGACAUCCCUUGACGAUGCUGGAAACAGUGUUUCUCUUCGGAGCAAGGAGACAGGUGGUGCAUGGUUGUCGUCAGCUCGUGUCGUGAGAUGUUGGGUUAAGUCCCGCAACGAGCGCAACCCUUAUGGUCAGUUACUACGCAAGAGGACUCUGGCCAGACUGCCGUUGACAAAACGGAGGAAGGUGGGGAUGACGUCAAAUCAUCAUGCCCUUUAUGACUUGGGCUACACACGUACUACAAUGGCGUUAAACAAAGAGAAGCAAGACCGCGAGGUGGAGCAAAACUCAGAAACAACGUCCCAGUUCGGACUGCAGGCUGCAACUCGCCUGCACGAAGUCGGAAUUGCUAGUAAUCGUGGAUCAGCAUGCCACGGUGAAUACGUUCCCGGGCCUUGUACACACCGCCCGUCACACCAUGAGAGCCGGGGGGACCCGAAGUCGGUAGUCUAACCGCAAGGAGGACGCCGCCGAAGGUAAAACUGGUGAUUGGGGUGAAGUCGGAACAAGGU